CUCUUGCCGUACAACAUGGCGGUCCUCCGUGCUCGUUCACUCGCCGCCUUCUCCGCCGCUCUCCCGGUUCCCGGGUUUGUUAUGAGGGACCCGCCAUCUUGUGUCACCGCGCCGCCGCGCCUCAAGAUGGCCGCGCCGGCGUCGAACCCCUGGGAGGGAAAUGAAACCCCGGGAAAGUUUGAUGCAAAGCCGUCAAAAAUAAAGGAGGACAAAGACUUC